AACAGGAUUAGAUACCCUGGUAGUCCACGCCGUAAACGAUGUCGACUUGGAGGUUGUGCCCUUGAGGCGUGGCUUCCGGAGCUAACGCGUUAAGUCGACCGCCUGGGGAGUACGGCCGCAAGGUUAAAACUCAAAUGAAUUGACGGGGGCCCACACAAGCGGUGGAGCAUGUGGUUUAAUUCGAUGCAACGCGAAGAACCUUACCUGGUCUUGACAUCCACGGAAGUUUUCAGAGAUGAGAAUGUGCCUUCGGGAACCGUGAGACAGGUGCUGCAUGGCUGUCGUCAGCUCGUGUUGUGAAAUGUUGGGUUAAGUCCCGCAACGAGCGCAACCCUUAUCCUUUGUUGCCAGCGGUCCGGCCGGGAACUCAAAGGAGACUGCCAGUGAUAAACUGGAGGAAGGUGGGGAUGACGUCAAGUCAUCAUGGCCCUUACGACCAGGGCUACACACGUGCUACAAUGGCGCAUACAAAGAGAAGCGACCUCGCGAGAGCAAGCGGACCUCAUAAAGUGCGUCGUAGUCCGGAUUGGAGUCUGCAACUCGACUCCAUGAAGUCGGAAUCGCUAGUAAUCGUGGAUCAGAAUGCCACGGUGAAUACGUUCCCGGGCCUUGUACACACCGCCCGUCACACCAUGGGAGUGGGUUGCAAAAGAAGUAGGUAGCUUAACCUUCGGGAGGGCGCUUACCACUUUGUGAUUCAUGACUGGGGUGAAGUCGUAACAAGGUAACC
rnacentral:rRNA from 1 species